rnacentral:misc_RNA from 1 species
AGUCGUAACAAGGUUUCUGUAGGUGAACCUGCAGAAGGAUCAUUAGUGAAAGUUUCGGGCCUGCCAUACGGACGCAAACACGUCUCUGGCGCCCAUCACUAUAUCCAUACCAACCCCUGUGCACUGUGAUGACGAAUGUCAUCGAACAAAAAAAAACUCGUAUGGUUGAAUGUACGUGAAAUUGUAGGUAUAGCCUACGAACUAUACACAACUUUCGACAACGGAUCUCUUGGUUCUCCCAUCGAUGAAGAACGCAGCGAAACGCGAUAGGUAAUGUGAAUUGCAGAAUUCCGUGAAUCAUCGAAUCUUUGAACGCACCUUGCGCUCCAUGGUAUUCCGUGGAGCAUGCCUGUUUGAGUGCCGCGAAUUCUCCCUCCCCUUACGGUGGCCGAAAGGCCGAAGUAGGGCGGACGGGGUAGGAUGGGUGUUUGCUGCCUGGGGAUUGUACCAGGCUCGCCCGAAAUGCAUAAGCGCCAGGACCCUCGCUACCGCUCUCUAGGGAAGAGUGGCUAAGCGACCGCUGAGCAUGGCAUGAUACGUCAUUUGCUGUGUGUGGGCGGCCGGUUGGAGAGGUGUCUGCUUUACCAGCCCUAUUUUAAUUCUGGUCUCAAAUCAGGUAGGAUCACCCGCUGAACCUAAGCAUAU